rnacentral:rRNA from 1 species
GACGUACGGUGGCGGCGUGCUUAACACAUGCAAGCCGAACCGUGAAAGCGGAGCUUGCUCCGCUGGAUCAGGGGCGAACGGGUGAGUAACACGUGGACAACCUGCCCCUCACUUCGGGAUAACUCCGGGAAACCGGGGCUAAUACCGGAUAUGACCUCCUUGGGCAUCCUUGGAGGUGGAAAGUUUUUCGGUGAGGGAUGGGCCCGCGGCCUAUCAGCUUGUUGGGGAGGUAGUGGCUCACCAAGGCGACGACGGGUGGCCGGCCCGAGAGUGUGACCGGCCACACGGGGAAGGAGCCACGCCCCAGACUCCUACUGGAGGCAGCGGUGGGGAAUAUUGCACAAUGGGCGCAAGCCUGAUGCAGCAACGCCGCGUGAGGGAUGACGGCCUUCGGGUUGUAAACCUCUUUUAGUAGGGAAGAAGCGAAAGUGACGGUACCUGCAGAAAAAGCACCGGCUAACUACGUGCCAGCCGCCGCGGUAA